rnacentral:rRNA from 1 species
GAUGAACGCUGGCGGUAUGCCUAACACAUGCAAGUCGAACGGAUGUCUUCGGACAUUAGUGGCGGACGGGUGAGUAACGCGUGAGAAUCUGCCUUCAGGAUGGGGACAACAAUUGGAAACGAUUGCUAAUACCCGAUAUGACGAAAGUUGAAAGAUUUAUCGCCUGGAGAUGAGCUCGCGUCAGAUUAGCUAGAUGGUGUGGUAAAGGCGCACCAUGGCGACGAUCUGUAGCUGGUCUGAGAGGAUGAGCAGCCACACUGGGACUGAGACACGGCCCAGACUCCUACGGGAGGCAGCAGUGGGGAAUUUUCCGCAAUGGGCGCAAGCCUGACGGAGCAAUACCGCGUGAGGGAGGAAGGCUCUUGGGUCGUAAACCUCUUUUCUCAGGGAAGAACAAAAUGACGGUACCUGAGGAAUCAGCAUCGGCUAACUCCGUGCCAGCAGCCGCGGUAAUACGGAGGAUGCAAGCGUUAUCCGGAAUGAUUGGGCGUAAAGCGUCCGUAGGUGGUUAUGUAAGUCUGUGGUUAAAGCGUGGGGCUCAACCCCAUAAGGGCCAUGGAAACUACAAGACUUGAGUAAGGUAGGGGUAGAGGGAAUUCCCAGUGUAGCGGUGAAAUGCGUAGAGAUUGGGAAGAACACCGGUGGCGAAAGCGCUCUACUGGACUUAAACUGACACUGAGGGACGAAAGCUAGGGGAGCGAAAGGGAUUAGAUACCCCUGUAGUCCUAGCCGUAAACGAUGGAUACUAGGUGUUGCCCG